rnacentral:rRNA from 1 species
UUUAAAGACUUACCACCCUGAACGUGCCCAAUCUUGUCUGAUCACAGAAGCUAAGCAGGGUUGGGUCUGGUUAGUACUUGGAUGGGAGAAAUUGUUAUUUCCCACAAAUUCUUUUUAAAA